rnacentral:tRNA from 1 species
UCCCUGAUAGCUUAGUUGGUAAAGAACAUGCCUGCAAUGCAGGAGACCCUGGUUCAAAUCCUGGGUCGGGAA